UACGUAGGGUCCGAGCGUUGUCCGGAAUUACUGGGCGUAAAGAGCUCGUAGGUGGUUUGUCGCGUUGUCCGUGAAAACUCACAGCUCAACUGUGGGCGUGCGGGCGAUACGGGCAGACUGGAGUACUGCAGGGGAGACUGGAAUUCCUGGUGUAGCGGUGGAAUGCGCAGAUAUCUGGAGGAACACCGGUGGCGAAGGCGGCAUCCUGGACCGGCAUUGACGCUGAGGCGCGAAAGCCAGGGGAGCAAACGGG
rnacentral:rRNA from 1 species